UGUGACUGGAGCUCGCUCGGCGACGGCGACUGUGACACACAAUGCAACAACACCGCGUGUUUCUUCGACCGCGGCGACUGUG
rnacentral:sRNA from 1 species